GAAUAUUGGACAAUGGGCGAAAGCCUGAUCCAGCAAUGCCGCGUGAGUGAUGAAGGCCUUAGGGUUGUAAAGCACUUUUACCAGGGAUGAUAAUGACAGUACCUGGAGAAUAAGCUCCGGCUAACUCCUUGCCAGCAGACGCGGUAAUACGGAGGGAGCGAGCGUUGUUCGGAAAUACUGGGCGUAAAGCGCACGUAGGCGGCUUUUUAAGUCAGGGGUGAAAUCCCGGGGCUCAACCCCGGAACUGCCCUUGAAACUGGAUCGCUAGAAUAUUGGAGAGGCAAGUGGAAUUCCGAGUGUAGAGGUGAAAUUCGUAGAUAUUCGGAAGAACACCAGUGGCGAAGGCGACUUGCUGGACAAUUAUUGACGCUGAGGUGCGAAAGCGUGGGGAGCAAACAGGA
rnacentral:rRNA from 1 species